rnacentral:rRNA from 1 species
UACGUAGGGGGCGAGCGUUGUCCGGAUUUAUUGGGCGUAAAGAGCGUGUAGGCGGCUUGGUAGGUCUGCUGUGAAAACUCGGGGCUCAACCCCGAGACGUCGGUGGAAACCACCUUGCUAGAGUCCGGGAGAGGAGAGUGGAAUUCCUGGUGUAGCGGUGAAAUGCGCAGAUAUCAGGAAGAACACCCGUGGCGAAAGCGGCUCUCUGGAACGGUACUGACGCUGAGACGCGAAAGCGUGGGGAGCGAACAGG